rnacentral:rRNA from 1 species
UACGGGGGGGGCAAGCGUUGUUCGGAAUUACUGGGCGUAAAGGGCUCGUAGGUGGCCAACUAAGUCAGACGUGAAAUCCCUCGGCUUAACCGAGGAACUGCCUGUCAAACUGCAUGGCUUGAGACCGGGAGAGGUGAGUGGAAUUCCCAGUGUAGCGGUGAAAUGCGUAGAUAUUGGGAGGAACACCAGUGGCGAAGGCGGCUCACUGGACCGGUACUGACGCUGAUGCGCGAAAGCGUGGGGAGCAAACAGG